AGUGAGCGCUGGCGGUAGGCCUAACACAUGCAAGUCGAACGGCAGCACAGUAAGAGCUUGCUCUUACGGGUGGCGAGUGGCGGACGGGUGAGGAAUACAUCGGAAUCUACUUUUUCGUGGGGGAUAACGUAGGGAAACUUACGCUAAUACCGCAUACGACCUACGGGUGAAAGCAGGGGAUCUUCGGACCUUGCGCGAUUGAAUGAGCCGAUGUCGGAUUAGCUAGUUGGCGGGGUAAAGGCCCACCAAGGCGACGAUCCGUAGCUGGUCUGAGAGGAUGAACAGCCACACUGGAACUGAGACACGGUCCAGACUCCUACGGGCGGCAGCGGUGGGGAAUAUUGGACAAUGGGCGCAAGCCUGAUCCAGCCAUACCGCGUGGGUGAAGAAGGCCUUCGGGUUGUAAAGCCCUUUUGUUGGGAAAGAAAAGCAGCAGGUUAAUACCCCGCUGUUCUGACGGUACCCAAAGAAUAAGCACCGGCUAACUUCGUG
rnacentral:rRNA from 1 species